rnacentral:lncRNA from 1 species
CUGCUAGCAGCGAGAAUAUAACCAUGCUAUGUCUGUAGAGAGAGCACAUUAGAUGGCACAAAGAGUGGACCUGAUGUUGUGGGAAUCACCAUGCAGCACCAGGUGAAAGCAACUAAGGGUUUCCAGCGUCGAGAGCAACAGUGUGAACGUGGCCACGCCUCCAGCCUCCCUGUCAGCUGAUUCCCGCUCUCAAGUGGUCAAGGCCCCGUGAAGUGCAGACCAGCACAGAAACACAGUAAAUACAGGGAGCCUGCCCACAUUUGCCUACACCCAAAGAAUCCAGAAGCUCAUCUAUGCCUCUGUUUAGGCGGUUCCACGUUCUGACUCCACCAGGCACAGGACUCUCAUUUGCUCAAAAAACCACAGUGCACAUGGAUCUGAAAAGUCAGCAGUAGCUUGAGAACUUGGAAGGAGAACAGAGAUGUGUAAAGCGUCAACUGGAAAAGAGAGCUGAUCACAUGUGGAUUAAAUGAAAGAAACAUCAGAUGGCUGGUCUUGCAAAGCUGAAGGCAGGCCAUUGACCCAGGAGUUGGUCUGAGCUUCUGGCAGAAGCAGCCAUUGUCCUGGAAAGUCGAAAUGAGGAACAAAAAGUCUGAAGUCCUGAAAAUGAUACACAUUGCAGCCUCUUUGCCUUUCUUUUACUUCCUUUAUUGUUCUCACCUCAUCAUGAAUUAGAAUGUAAUGCAGGAGCAGCAUGACAGAUCUUGCCCACUGAGCCACUAAAGGAAAAGAAAUUACAAAAUUUUUAAAUGAAAAAUCAUGAAUAAGUAAAGCAAGAGACUAUUUCUCUCUGACAUAGCAGCCUGCCCUCACUGCCCUGCAUUCUCAGAGGGAGAUGGAGACAGAGACAGAGGAAUGAAGAAGCCCAAUGGAAUCCACUCACUGAUAAACAACCAAAGGUCAUUAGUUUCUGUAACAUAAGCUUCUAAUGAGACACAUCAUCAUCACUGAAUCCCCUGUGCCCAGCUCAGAAACCUCAAGCACAACAAGUGUUCAAUAGUUUAAGUAAAAGAGUUGAAUAGUAAAAUCUGUUCUUGGCAACAUAAAAAUUAUGUGCCUACUGAAGGUGAAAUGAUUGCCGUUGGGUAAUUCCUCCACCUCCUUAGACGAAAGAAAUGUUUGCUCUCAGCACCUGAGGGCUGUUGACAUUUUUGAUACCUGGGGACUGAGUCAGGAGAGCAGGAGGUCACCACUGAGGACUGAGGUCCUUCACGCAAACACUUUAGGAGCAAGGGUGACGGUCCUGAAGGAUAAAUUAUUUUGCCAACACGGAAAUAAACCCCUCCACAGAAAAUAAAUCCUCAGGAUUGAAGUCCUCAGGCUGUGGUGAGCCUGCCCUCAGUUCUUGAGUCCAGGAGAGUUCAGGAUGAGGCCUCUGUCACUGGGGAGGAGCUGUGAU